GCUGCUUCCCUCGGGGGACAGACCCAGAUCCUGGGCUCCCUCACGACAACUCCGGUCAUUGCCAACGCCAUUCCCAGCAUGCCAGGGAUCAGCAGUCAGAUCCUCACCAAUGCUCAGGGACAGGUUAUUGGAACACUUCCGUGGGUAGUGAACUCAGCUAGCGUGGCAGCACCAGCACCAGCCCAAAGCCUGCAGGUCCAGGCUGUGACUCCCCAGCUGCUGUUAAACGCCCAGGGCCAGGUGAUUGCAACCCUGGCCAGCAACCCCCUGCCUCCACCUGUGGCUGUCCGGAAGCCAAGCACGCCCGAGUCCCCUGCUAAGAGUGAGGUGCAGCCCAUCCAGCCUACGCCAGCCAUGCCCCCGCCUACAGUGGUCAUCGCCAGCCCAGGCCCAGCGGCCAAACCAUCGGCCUCUGCUCCCAUCCCAAUUACCUGCUCAGAGACGCCCACUGUCAGCCAGUUGGUGUCCAAGCCACAUAACCCAAGUCUGGAUGAGGACGGGAUCAACUUAGAAGAGAUCCGGGAGUUUGCCAAGAACUUUAAGAUCCGGCGGCUGUCUCUGGGCCUCACACAGACCCAGGUGGGCCAGGCUCUGACUGCAACGGAAGGCCCGGCCUACAGCCAGUCUGCCAUCUGCCGGUUCGAGAAGCUGGACAUCACCCCAAAGAGCGCCCAGAAGCUGAAGCCGGUGCUGGAGAAGUGGCUGAAUGAAGCCGAACUCCGGAACCAGGAAGGCCAGCAGAACCUGAUGGAGUUUGUGGGAGGGGAGCCCUCCAAGAAACGCAAACGCCGCACCUCCUUCACCCCCCAGGCCAUCGUGGCUCUCAACGCCUACUUUGAGAAGAACCCACUGCCCACUGGCCAGGAGAUCACCGAGAUUGCCAAGGAGCUCAAUUACGACCGGGAGGUCGUACGGGUCUGGUUCUGCAAUCGGCGCCAGACGCUCAAGAACACCAGCAAGCUGAACGUCUUUCAGAUCCCUUAGGGCUCGGCCCCCGGCCCUGCGUUCCAGCACUUUGUACUUGUCCCUUGGCACCUGGCUGCAGCCACAGCUGUGACAGCACCGUCAUUCUGACAGGUCUUCUCAGAAGGCAAACGAAACAAUAAACCAGACUGCAAGGCCUGGGGCAGAGGCCAGCACCCAGCCCAGAGAAGUCUCUUGUGGAAGGUGACUUAACUCUAAUUUUCUCUGUAGCUUUAAGCCUUGGGUACUGGAUGAGAAAUCUUAUUUUGUCCCGAGUCUUAGACCCUGUGUUUGUGUAAGAAAUCUCCCCGGUACUCCGCUGAACCAAGAAUAUCCCUGGGACAGGAGGGGUUUUGCCUCUAGAGAGGGUAACUAUGGCACAUUGGGGGUUGGCACCUCAUCCGAGCUCCUGGGUUUCCCAGCCUCACUGUGGCUGGACAACCCCUGGAACUCAGCCUGUGACUCCAGGAAGUCAAGAGAGCACCAAGAGGUUGGCGUAGAUGAGCCCAGCCUUGCUGUAUAGAGCAUCCCUAAAGGGCCACAAGCCACGGGGUCAGCCACCCCGUCUCUUCACUACUCUUGUCCUUACAAAGCCAGGUCUCUAGCAGCUGCCUUCCCCUGCACCUCGCAUGGUACCCCUGAGGAAGUGACUGCCGGCAAGAACACAUCUCCAGCUCUGCUGGCCACUGGCAGCCACCUCCUAGCCUGGCCUUCACCCGCAUGCUGUUUCCUUUCCUGCCUGCAGCUGGUCCCUCCCAGGCCCUGCAGUGCCAGCGGGGCCACCCUCUUGGUAGCCCUGCCAGGGGGAAGACAGUUGUGUGUCAAAUUGCCACACGUACACACACACUCCCGCCCCGCUGCAUUGGGACCAACAGGCCUGCCAGAGUGAGGAAGCUGGUGGGCAUCCUGCCCGCCCCAGUUUCCCAAGAAAAAAUGUCUCCAAGGGGAGGCUCCACACUCAAGGUCAAGGUUAUCAACCUGUCUCGGUGAGAAGAAGGGAGGAGUAUUGUAAACACGUUUUCAGUACUAAAGUACUGGAUGGAGUUUAAGGAUUCAGUGACUUACACGUCAAUAAAUUGGAGCGGCAGUUUUCAACCUUUUUCAUCUCAUGGCACAUAAAUGGAUCACUAUAAUUCUGCAGCACACCCAAAAAAUAUAUUUUUUGCCAAUCUGACAAAAAAGUAGGUAUACUUUUGAUUCGGUCACACCGAUGGCUAUUGUUCUGUGUUGUCAUUUUUAAAUUUGACAAUCUAAGGGAAAGGAGGUCAGUGCCCCUGACCAAAUAGUCAAGUGGUGCAUGUUUAAAAAAUGUCUGUGGCCCACUGGUGAAACUCUGAAUGAGAGAGAGACAGCUUUUCACCCUCAAACACUUGCGUUCAGAUAUGCUUCCUUCCAGGUGGGUCAUGGUGGGAACCCUGGGAGUCGCAUAUAAUCCAGGCUGUGCCCAGGGCAGUGGCUCUGCAGGACGCCAUCUGUCUGGUGUUAGGGCAGGAAAAGGAUCAUGAACUGCUGCCGGUCUAAAUUAGGCUGGGCCUUGCUGUCUCAGCUCCUCCCUCGUCUAAAUCCGUCUUCCAGAGGCUGAGGUAGAGCUAAAUCGUUUUCUCCUCUACAAGAAGAACGGGUAGGUCUUUCUGAAGAACAAUACCAGGGUCGGAAUAUUUGCAGGCUGAAUUCCCCAGGCAGGAGAGCGUGGGGUGUCCCUGAAAUAUGCCCAAAGCAGAGCUUACUGGCCUGCAAUCUCUCUCCUGCUUCCCCACUGUAGGCCACCACCACCACCUCCCCCUACCCCCC